GGGGCGCAGCAGGCGCGAAACCGUUACACUGCACGCCAGUGCGAUAAGGGGAUCCCAAGUGCGUAGGCAUAGAGCCUACGCUUUUGUCUACCUUAGGGUGGUAGACGAAUAAGGGCUGGGCAAGACCGGUGCCAGCCGCCGCGGUAAUACCGGCAGCCCAAGUGAUGGCCGAUCUUAUUGGGCCUAAAGCGUCCGUAGCUGGCCGCACAAGUCCAUCGGGAAAUCCACCUGCUCAACAGGUGGCCGUCCGGUGGAAACUGUGUGGCUUGGGACCGGAAGGCGCGACGGGUACGUCCGGGGUAGGAGUGAAAUCCUGUAAUCCUGGACGGACCGCCGAUGGCGAAAGCACGUCGCGAAAACGGAUCCGACAGUGAGGGACGAAAGCUAGGGUCUCGAACCGGAUUAGAUACCCGGGUAGU
rnacentral:rRNA from 1 species